CCUACGGGUGGCAGCAGUGGGGAAUAUUGGGCAAUGGGCGCAAGCCUGACCCAGCAACGCCGCGUGAAGGAAGAAGGCUUUCGGGUUUUAAACUUCUUUUCUCAGGGACGAAGACAGUGACGGUACCUGAUGAAUAAGCCACGGCUAACUACGUGCCAGCAGCCGCGGUAAUACGUAGGUGGCAAGCGUUAUCCGGAUUUAUUGGGUGUAAAGGGCGUGUAGGCGGGAGCGCAAGUCAGAUGUGAAAACUCAGGGCUCAACCCUGAGCCUGCAGUUGAAACUGUGUUUCUUGAGUGCUGGAGAGGCAAUCGGAAUUCGGUGUGUAGCGGUGAAAGGCGUAGAUAUACGGAGGAACACCAGUGGCGAAGGCGGAUUGCUGGACAGUAACUGACGCUGAGGCGCGAAAGCGUGGGGAGCAAACAGGAUUAGAUACCCCGGUAGUC
rnacentral:rRNA from 1 species